rnacentral:rRNA from 1 species
CACCGGCAGCUCUAGUGGUAGCAGUUUUUAUUGGGCCUAAAGCGUCCGUAGCCGGUUUAAUAAGUCUCUGGUGAAAUCCUGUAGCUUAACUGUGGGAAUAGCUGGAGAUACUAUUAGACUUGAGACCGGGAGAGGUUAGAGGUACUCCCAGGGUAGAGGUGAAAUUCUGUAAUCCUGGGAGGACCGCCUGUUGCGAAGGCGUCUAACUGGAACGGUUCUGACGGUGAGGGACGAAAGUUAGGGGCGCGAACCGGAUUAGAUACCCGGGUAGUCCUAACUGUAAACGAUGCGGACUUGGUGUUGGGGUGGCUUUGAGCUGCUCCAGUGCCGAAGGGAAGCUGUUAAGUCCGCCGCCUGGGAAGUACGGUCGCAAGACUGAAACUUAA